CUCUGUCCCCCGCUCAGCCACCUCCACCACCCCCACCCUUCUCUCCAUCGCCGGAUUCGCUGCAGAUCAUCAAGGUUCCACGACGCGCGCGUGCUCGUCAAGGAAGCGUCUCGUGGAUCUGCGCUCGUGCGGCCACGAUGGAAGGGGCUCGAGGUGGCCGCCUGCCGCCGCCGAAGACCAAGCCCCCACCUUGUCCAGAAUUGCAUCCUACGCCAUGUUCCAGUGAGGAAGGAGGGGCGACACAAAUAGGGUCCUCACCCAGCCGUGCGAUCGACCACUACGACGCGGCCGUGCGGUGGGCAGAUGCGAUGUUGCGGCAGCGAGGUGGGGGCGACGGUGUUCACUCGUGCGGAUCACAGCUGGGGUGGCCCGAUCUGGACUUGGCAGGCCUCUUUGACUGCAGCCGGAGCUCGAUGGGGCAUGGCACUGGUCUUGGCCGAGAUCCGCCGCUGCCUAUCGUCUUCAAUGUCCGUCAGUUCUUUGCUCCCCCGAUCCCACUACCCUCCAUGGCGUCAUCUCCUGCGAAGGUCGCCGUUCAUCCUCAAAGAUUGCCGGCCUCCCUUGCGCGGGAUUGCCGCGAUUGUCCACCAAGAAAGACAUCAUCGCUGCUGCCGUGGUCUGAUCCUAUUGCCUUGGUAGUUGGAGCGGCAUCGUGGCAUUGCUUGUGGUGGUGGUGGUUGGCGAGCACCUGGAGCCGCUGUACUUGCUAGAACCAUUUAACGGGAGCAGCAGCACGCAAUGGGAACACAACCUCGAUGUCAGGGUGGUCCUGUGCAUGUGCUCUAAUAAGUCGACGUGCUCUGCGAACUUGCCCACUGUCUCCAGGAUAGCUACGACAUGCGCCCCCGACUGAGAGCCGCCCCUCCUUAUCCCUCUACUCUCACCGCCGCCGUGCCCAGCCGCACCCACUAUGUUCUACAAUAUUGCGUUGUAUUGCCGGCUGAUGCAUCCAUGUGCUAAUCUGCUGGCAGAGUUGAGGGAGGGGGCCAGCUGCCUGGCGGGUGCACCCGCGAGCACAACGUGGAAGAGCCUAACAGUCCAUCCGCUACCAGCUUACUCGUCGAUUCUUCGAUCGUCGUGCUGCUCCGUGCAGCCGCUAGCUGGUGAAGGCAGUGUGCAUAAGUAGUAUUUCUCAUGUUUAUUGUAUCGAUCAACAGAUUGACUGUCAGGUCCUUCCCUACAAAAUCUUUAGAAAGAAAAAAACUACAAGGGAAGUACAUAUGAAAAUACUGCAGUCUGCAGUUAACAUCUCUUUUGCCAGUUUGGUAUAACUUUUGUGGUUGUUUUAUUAUCCAUCGAGACCCAUGUUUGAUCACCAUAGCUACAUAGAAGAGCAGACCAUUGAUAUGUACAGUAUCAUUACUAUUUUAGCAGACAUGAGUUACAUUGUCAUCUUUUCAUGAAGAAGUGAUUAGUGUGAAGAAACCCCAAUUUUAAAAAUAGUGACAGUUCAGCAUCAUAAGGAUGCCAAAUUGACAUAAGUUUAUGAUUGUUUGUCAGAAAGAAAUUUAUACAUGUGGUUUUUAUAUCUGUGUGAAUGUAUCUCUCCUGAUCUAUUUGUAGUAAAACUGACUUUGGUGUCGUGGUUUUUCUCAUAUUUUAGUGCUAAGUACUACCGUGAGGACCUUGGAAGGAGGUUUAUUUGUUUAUUAAUAUGUGCAGGUGACCACGAGCAGGAUGACCACUCAGCGUUUAAUACUGUCAAAUCCUUCUACCAUAGAAAGGUAUGAGGCACGCUUAGCAAGGAUGAGCACUCGGCGUUUGCUAUUGUCAAAUCCUUCUAACACAUCAAGGUCUGCCAACGUUAUAUAUUUUCUUAACAAGGAGUUAAGAAGAUAUUGAGAAUGGUAAAAGACAUUGUUUUGGACAAAUAUUAUGAGAAUAAAUUAUUUGGUUUUUCCCUUGGGUUUAAAUAAUAGUACUUCAAAUUUUUAGGUCUAUAAUUAAAGAAAACUUAAUUUAUGCACCUGUGUUCUUCACUUUCCAUCUACUUGGUUGAAUAGAAUCAUGUUUCAUCUACUCAGUGAAUGGCUUGCUUGUUCACGUGAAUGCUUUCCAUCUACUCGGAAAACUGCCAGGAGCCAUCACUGAAGCUCUAUCUGAAGAUUACUGAAGAUUUGGACACUUGUACGUCCAUCCACAGCUCCAUACCUCUUCGCUGCGGCCAUUUACUGUGUAACCGACUAUGUAACCAUCCAUCUCUGAUCCUAGGGUCCUCAUAUCUUCUUGCUUUGUUGUUCUGUUUUUGGGAUAUAUGAGCUGUGUAAGCCAAAGGGCAGGAAUAUGUUAUCUCUUGUAUUUGGGCUGAAGCCUAGACGCUCCAUGUUCUGGCUGGCAUAAAGAGGAUGUUUGG